UAUACUUUUUUCCACAUCGUCCCCACGCUAUUUUCAUCCUGAAAAUUUCAAUCUUCAUGUGUCAUUUUUUACACUUAAGACGGGAUUUAGUGAUUAAUAACAACUGUCAAAGAUCGAUAUAUCUUUUAUCAUUAUAGUGAUCAUGUUUAAAUUAAGGAUUAUCAUUUCGAAUAACUAUAAAAUAAAAUAAAAUGCUUCGCUGGGCGCAGCUUGAUACGACCGCAGAGGUCGAACCCUGAACAGUUGGGGCAAGUAUGGACACAACAUUCAAGCUUGAUACAGCUCUGAAUUUGGAUUGUGAUUAAAUAUUUGACACAGCAUAGGUUUCUGACACAGAAAGAAUGUGGUCUAAGAACUUGAAUUUUUUUAAUUUACCUAUUAUGGUCCAAUGUCCAAAAUCAAAAUACAUGGUUAGAUUCAGCAUAUCAAAGAACCUCAUAUAUUCAAUUUUUGUUGAAAUCAAACAAAGUUUAAUUUUGGACCCCAACUUGGACAAGCUUGAAAACUGGGCCCAUAAUCAAAAAUCUAAACACAUGCUUAGAUUCAGCAUAUCAAAGAACCCCAAGAAUUCAAUUUUUGCUAAAAUCAAACUAAGUUUAAUUUUGGACCCUUUGGACCUUAAUGUAGACCAAUUUAAAAAAUGGGACUUAAAAUUAAAAAUCUAAAUACACGGUUAGAUUUGUAAUAUCAAAGAACCCCAAUAAUUCAAUUUUUGAUGAAAUCAAACAAAGUUUAAUUUUGGACCCUUUUGACCUCAAUAUGAACCAAUUUGAUAAGCGGGGCCCACAAAUAAAAAAUCUAAAUUUAUGUUUAGAUUCAGCAUAUCAAAGAACCCCAUAUAUUCAAUUUUUGUUGAAAUCAAAAAAAGUUUAAUUUUGGACCCUUUGGACCGCAAUAAAGACCAAUUUAAAAAAAGGGACCCAAAUUAAACAUCUAAAAACACGGUUAGAUUUGGCAUAUCAAAGAACCCCAAUAAUUCAAUUUUUGAUGAAAUCAAACAAA